ensembl:lncRNA
UACGAGUGUUAGUUACUGUGUUUGUUACUGAAUAGAAGAAUUGAUAGUUUACUGUGAUGAUGAACGCAAUAAUUAGACGAUUAGAUGUCCACAAUAUGCAUUUUUAAUUUGUAACACGUAUAUUACAAUCAAACAGUGUGAGGUCAGACUGAGUCGGGUCGGUGUCUAACGCGUCGUAGGUUCUGAAGUUCGUUGAGAACGGCUGGACGGAGCCUGGAACGUUUCCUCCUCCGGCUCUCACAUCAUCAUCUAUAAACACAGAUAUCAGUAUUUAUUAUUUUAUGCACAUCACAUAUACAUUCACAUGCAAGAGCUGAACACGAGUUCAUUAAUAAUACAUUUUUCAGGUUUGCAGAUCACUGUAUUGUCAUAUUUAAAUGUUGGUGUUGAGCGAGUGUAUGUAUUCAGCUGUGAUUCAUUAUAAAUGAGUGUUAAAAAUGAAGGUAGUAAAUGAAGGAUUGUGCGUGGUGACAGACAGCGUUAGUGUAGUGGGGUGUGUGUCGUGGUUAAAACGUCACCCUUAUUAACCACGUGGCCAAUGGGCGCUCUCCCUACCACAGUAUAUAAGUGGUUGUUUACGCCUCUCAGAAUGUGUCAUGGUCGAAAAGCCCGCCCCUUCCUUUCGUUGCUAUGGACUACAGAGGAGCUGAGUGUUUCCUGAGGUUUGGGGGGGGGGGGGGGGGUUCUUUGCUGCACCUUAGGCUUUACUUCAUUAAGGGUGGUUAUUAUUGCUGUGUUUAUUCUCAGUGAAUUUUGUGGGUAUGAUUCUGAUUAGUGGGGUGCUUUUCCCUUUUGUAUAGCUGGUGCUGUCGUACUAGCCUGCCCUUCAUACAGGAAGCCUCAGUCCUCCUAUGAUUAUUAUUAAUUUCCUCUUGUGAUUGUUUUAUUUGACCAAUGCCUGACUGUGUUGGAUGUUGCUUCUUUUAAAAAUAAUUCUUGGCCAGUCAUUUUAACGUAAAAAUAAAAUGUAUUUUUGUAUGGAAACCCAUGCCUCAUGCCUGUUCUAAGUGGAACGUACUUGUGUGUCUUUAUUUGGGUUAUUUUCCCCGUUUUCUCGGGGUGGCGUAGUUGGUACAAAACAAACGAGCCGCAUAGCUACAUGUGGCGUAGUUGUUGCAAAAAACGAGUCACAUUGCUACACGUGGCGUAGUUGUAGAGCGAAACGAGCCGCAUUACUACACAUGGCGUAGUCGGCAGGAUUUACAAAAAACAAGCUACUCUUAUCUCAUUAUUUAACAGAAAUGUCACGUUUUGGGUGACGAACCUUGACGCGUGAACAGGUUCCUGCUCCUCUUCCACGGCGUUAAUCUGCAGACAGACAGAUGUCCAACAACCGCCUGAAACAAACAACAACAAAUAUCAACAUCUAUCAUUUUUCUACAGUUGAGCGCAAAAGUUUACGUCCCCAAUGGCUUUCAAAUGUUUUGGGGGAAAAAAGCCUAACGAUGACCUCCUUCACCUGCAUCAACACGUCUUUGGACCGAAUAUUAAGAUUUCUCAUGAACAGAUACCGAAUGCAAAUUCAACACUUGGAAUCGACUCAAGACUUUUUAUCUCCUUAAUUUGUCAUGAAAUAACGAGGAAACAGGUCACACCUGGCCAUGAAACUGCUUACCAGUCAAUUGUCCCAUUACUUUUGAACCGUGUAAAUGGAGGGACUCUGUAAAAAAAAAAAAAAGGCUGUAAUUCCUAAACGGUUAAAAUGCUAUGUCAUGUAGAUGUGUUAUGUUGUAUUUUACACCUAAAAUGUUAAUGAAGCACAUUACAUAUUAAAAGAAUUUUGAAUGCA